UAUAGGAGCACAGAGGACAAGUUCUGCACCCCCCCCCUCCUCUGUGUACAGGGUGAUGGAGGGUGGGGGGAAGGGGCAGCCUGAAUCCAUUACUGACACUUUCCGAUCAUUUCCAACCGAAUAGUUACCGGCUAUUUCUUCCCAGAAAUAAUGAAGAGAUUUCAAUGGGUGCACGGCCAGGCGCCCCCAUUGUACGGCCAUUGAUAGGAAGGAUGUUUUUGACUAUGCAACAGUGGGCUGCAUUGCCGGCUCCCAAUACCCCCCCUCUUCUUCUGGCCACAGAAAAGGUGAAACCAAUACGAUUAAAGCUACACAAAGAUAACUCCCUGCCCAUCACUUACAUUGUAGUCCGGGCUGUGAGGAGGCGCACUCAUAGGAGGCUCAGCAGCUUCCACCCAGGGACUGCUAUAUACAGGGACCGCACCACAGGCUGCUGGAACACGAGCCGGGACCAUCCAUCCAACCACUGCCACCAACACUGCCACCAGGGACCGCACUGCCACCGACACUGCCACCAGGGACCGCACUGCCACCAGGGACCGCACUGCCACUGACACUGCCACCAGGGACCGCACUGCCACCAGGGACCGCACUGCCACCAACAGCUGUUUCCUUCUCCCACUGCAGGACCGACCACCUACCGGGCUCUUUCUUCCGUCCAUCCUGCCUGCUGCUGCUGUCUCUCUGUCUGUGCAGGUUCACAAGUUGAUGUUAAAAGCUGACAAGCUGCCCCCAGAGCUCGGGCUACAGCCGCUAUCAGGUCUGUCCUGGAAGGCAGUAAAUUCCUUGAAGUGAAUACUUUGUUACUAAGAGAUCCGAAAAUUCUGAAUGACAUCACAGACCACUGAAAUGCUCUGAUUACACAGUCUGUACAAAGAUCUGCCAAGUCCACAGAAUUUGGGUAUAAAAGAUCAGUCCAUCCACUCUUUUCCAGUCUCUAAUAUGUCUCAGUCACUCCAGUGGUGAUAUCUCUCUUGCUAAGUCCCCAGACUUGCACAGCUACUUUGGGCAGUAAAUGAGCAUUGCUAUUCUCAUUGUUGGAGUUAUCCUUAUUUUUUUUUAUUAAAAUUACAUUACAGUAUAGUGCAACAGAAGAGACAAUGCUGAAAACUCAUGCCCUGUACA